rnacentral:lncRNA from 1 species
GUUGAAGUCACUGAGUUUGGGGUUAUUUGUUAUAGCCGCCACCAAAAACCUAAUACAGACUUCACGGAGCCUGGAGAAAAGUAUGUCAUCCAUCUGCAGCGGAGGAUCUGUGAUUAGAUGCUCUUCAUACAUAAUGUGUUUCUGGUCCAACAAUUUUUGAACAGAUCGAAGAUGAUUCCUGUAGCAAUAUCACUUUGCAAUUGCUUCCCUGAGUAGGAGAGAAAAGGGUGGGAUUCCAUCUCGGACUCAAAACAUGCAUAAUUCAUGGUUGGGAGAUCUUCCCAUCAGAAUCCAUGAGCGUCCCAAGUCUGACCCUAAGAUGGAGCUUCCAGAAACCCUUCUGGUUCCAACGUGGCAGGAGAUCUUGAAAGGGAGCCUUUUCCUGCUUCACCCACAUCCCAGGAGAACUCUUCGGACGAGCGAGGGGAAAUCCAGCCCUCAGAUCCCCCCAUGGAUUGAAGCCUAGUCCAGCCUCUGAAAGAGAGCAGGUACCAUCCCCAGGCCCAGCCAUGGUUCCCAGGUGUAUUCCAAAGCAUCGUCCGCCUGGCUGCCCAGACAGCCUGCUUCAACCAAAACAAAGG